rnacentral:rRNA from 1 species
GAUUCGUCACACUAUCAUUAACUGAAUCCAUAGGUUAAUGAGGCGAACCGGGGGAACUGAAACAUCUAAGUACCCCGAGGAAAAGAAAUCAACCGAGAUUCCCCCAGUAGCGGCGAGCGAACGGGGAGGAGCCCAGAGCCUGAAUCAGCAUGUGUGUUAGUGGAAGCGUCUGGAAAGGCGCGCGAUACAGGGUGACAGCCCCGUACACAAAAGCGCAUGUGCUGUGAGCUCGAUGAGUAGGGCGGGACACGUGGUAUCCUGUCUGAAUAUGGGGGGACCAUCCUCCAAGGCUAAAUACUCCUGACUGACCGAUAGUGAACCAGUACCGUGAGGGAAAGGCGAAAAGAACCCCGGCGAGGGGAGUGAAAAAGAACCUGAAACCGUGUACGUACAAGCAGUGGGAGCACCCUUCGGGGUGUGACUGCGUACCUUUUGUAUAAUGGGUCAGCGACUUAUAUUCUGUAGCAAGGUUAACCGUAUAGGGGAGCCGGAGGGAAACCGAGUCUUAAUUGGGCGUUAAGUUGCAGGGUAUAGACCCGAAACCCGGUGAUCUAGCCAUGGGCAGGUUGAAGGUUGGGUAACACUAACUGGAGGACCGAACCGACUAAUGUUGAAAAAUUAGCGGAUGACCUGUGGCUGGGGGUGAAAGGCCAAUCAAACCGGGAGAUAGCUGGUUCUCCCCGAAAGCUAUUUAGGUAGCGCCUCGUGAAUUCAUCUCCGGGGGUAGAGCACUGUUUCGGCUAGGGGGCCAUCCCGGCUUACCAACCCGAUGCAAACUGCGAAUACCGGAGAAUGUUAUCACGGGAGACACACGGCGGGUGCUAACGUCCGUCGUGAAGAGGGAAACAACCCAGACCGCCAGCUAAGGUCCCAAAGUCAUGGUUAAGUGGGAAACGAUGUGGGAAGGCCCAGACAGCCAGGAUGUUGGCUUAGAAGCAGCCAUCAUUUAAAGAAAGCGUAAUAGCUCACUGGUCGAGUCGGCCUGCGCGGAAGAUGUAACGGGGCUAAACCAUGCACCGAAGCUGCGGCAGCGAACGUAUCACCCAAGACAACUUUACGGAGUUGGCGAUUGACGGAGCGAAGCGACGUCAAAGCGUUCAUUAAAGUCGAGUUGGCUUAGGGAUACGUUCGUUGGGUAGGGGAGCGUUCUGUAAGCCUGUGAAGGUGUGUCGUGAGGCAUGCUGGAGGUAUCAGAAGUGCGAAUGCUGACAUAAGUAACGAUAAAGCGGGUGAAAAGCCCGCUCGCCGGAAGACCAAGGGUUCCUGUCCAACGUUAAUCGGGGCAGGGUGAGUCGACCCCUAAGGCGAGGCCGAAAGGCGUAGUCGAUGGGAAACGGGUUAAUAUUCCCGUACUUGGUGUUACUGCGAAGGGGGGACGGAGAAGGCUAUGUUGGCCGGGCGACGGUUGUCCCGGUUUAAGCGUGUAGGUGUGUGUUCCAGGUAAAUCCGGUUCACUUUAACACUGAGGCGUGACGACGAGGCACUACGGUGCUGAAGCAACAAAUGCCCUGCUUCCAGGAAAA